rnacentral:rRNA from 1 species
GUAGUCAUAUGCUUGUCUCAAAGAUUAAGCCAUGCAUGUCUAAGUAUAAGCAAUUAUACAGCGAAACUGCGAAUGGCUCAUUAUAUAAGUUAUCGUUUAUUUGAUAGUACCUUACUACUUGGAUAACCGUGGUAAUUCUAGAGCUAAUACAUGCUGAAAAUCCCGACUUCGGAAGGGAGGUAUUUAUUAGAUUAAAAACCAAUGCCCUCUGGGCUCCUUGGUGAUUCAUAAUAACUUUUCGAAUCGCACGGCCUUGCGCCGGCGAUGGUUCAUUCAAAUUUCUUCCCUAUCAACUUUCGAUGUUUGGGUAUUGGCCAAACAUGGUCGCAACGGGUAACGGGGAAA